UACAGAGGUGGCAAGCGUUGUUCGGAAUUACUGGGCGUAAAGGGCGCGUAGGCGGCCUUCUAAGUCGGACGUGAAAGCCCCAGGCUUAACCUGGGAACUGCGUCUGAUACUGGAAGGCUUGAGUAUGGGAGAGGGAUGUAGAAUUCCAGGUGUAGCGGUGAAAUGCGUAGAUAUCUGGAGGAAUACCGGUGGCGAAGGCGGCAUCCUGGACCAUUACUGACGCUGAGGCGCGAAAGCUAGGGGAGCAAACGGG
rnacentral:rRNA from 1 species